rnacentral:rRNA from 1 species
UACGUAGGGCGCAAGCGUUGUCCGGAAUUAUUGGGCGUAAAGAGCUCGUAGGCGGCUUGUCGCGUCUGUCGUGAAAGCUUGGGGCUUAACCCCAAGUCUGCGGUGGAUACGGGCAGACUAGAGGCAGGUAGGGGAGAACGGAAUUCCCGGUGUAGCGGUGAAAUGCGCAGAUAUCGGGAGGAACACCGGUGGCGAAGGCGGUUCUCUGGGCCUGUACUGACGCUGAGGAGCGAAAGCGUGGGGAGCGAACAGG